GGCGUGCGGCUGCUAUACAUGCAGUCGAGCGCGGGAAGCAAACUGAAUCCUUCGGGAGGACGUUUGUGGAACGAGCGGCGGACGGGUGAGUAACACGUGGGCAACCUGCCUGUAAGACUGGGAUAACUCCGGGAAACCGGGGCUAAUACCGGAUAAUUCAUCGGAUCGCAUGAUCCGAGGUUGAAAGAUGGCUUCUUGCUAUCACUUACAGAUGGGCCCGCGGCGCAUUAUCUAGUUGGUGAGGUAACGGCUCACCAAGGCCACGAUGCGUACCCGACCUGAGAGGGUGAUCGGCCACACUGGGACUGAGACACGGCCCACACUCCUACGGGAGGCAGCAGUAGGGAAUCUUCCGCACUGGACGAAAGUCUGACGGUGCAACGCCGCGUGAGUGAGGAAGGCCUUCGGGUCGUAAAACUCUGUUGUUAGGGAAUAACAUCCUCCUUUUUAAUAGGGCGGAUCCUUGACGGUACCUAAUCAUAAAGCCCCGGCUUUCUCUGUGUUAUCGUUUUCU
rnacentral:rRNA from 1 species